rnacentral:tmRNA from 1 species
CGCUUGGCGCCGGCGCGCAAAGCAACCUAUAUCCAGCCUGUCCGGGCAACCGGACUAUAGCGAUAAACGCGCAGAGAUAGGCGGAUCGGACCCGGGUGCGAUGCCCGGCGGCUCCACCAGUUUCAUCCCUCUUGGGGGAUUGUCUGGGGCCGAAAUAGGAUCGACGGACGUUGAAGGCUGAUGCUUUUGCUCGGGUGGUCCCGUUACAGGCCGAACAACGUAGUUGCCAAUGACAACCACGCUGAGGAAUUCGCCCUCGCUGCGUAAGCAGUGCGGAGUUUUCCGAACCUAAGCCCUUAGGAGUAGCAUCUUAAGGCGGGGCCCCCGGCGCCCGGCAACAGAAGCCGGGGAUU